GCUGACAGCAGCAAACCUGAUGUGGGGCUCAAACUUACAAACUGUGAGAUCAUGAUCUGAGCCGAAGUCGGAUGUUCAACCAACUGAGCCACCCAGAUAGCCUGAAAAGCCAUCAUUUUCUCACCUAGAUUCUCACCUAGCCAGUGAUCCAAAGAAGUUAGAAAGAUCUAACUUAGUCAUAGAAGCACCAGGAAAUGGAUAGGACUGUCUAGAAGGAGUGAAUAAGAAAGUCUAAGGCAGGUGGCAGGACAUUUAAGGGAUCUAGUGUAGACCACACCUCUUGAGAUGGGUCAGCCUGCAGAGUCUGUUCAAGCAGUCACUCAGCCUCCUCUUGCCCUGCUGCCCCCUGCUGCCUGGAGAUCUGUCCCCACAGCCACUGGAGCAGCGGGCCUCGUCGGCCUGGCAACACCAACCGCAGCAACACCUUUCCUGAUCUGAAGAAGGAAGAGAAAUCUGAGGGUGGCACCGUGGUCCCACAAAAACAUCACCCCAAUUUGAAGGCUCAGCAAUCCCGUUCUACAAAAAUCCCUCAGGGUUUAAUUUGAACUCCUGCCUGCCUCUUUCCGCUGCUGGUCCUACUUUCCACUCUAAUGCUGCCGCCCGACAUUGAGGUGCUGGGGAAGUUCUGGCCUUGGAAUCACUCAGACCAGGUACUCCAAUGCUGGUUCUACUGCUUCUUAGCUGUGCAACCCCAGGGGCAUUUCUUAGACUCGUUUAUUUUUCUUUUUCUUUUUAAAAUUUAUUUUGAG